UUUUCUCUCGAUUAAGGUUUAUUUUUCUUUUUUCCAUUUUUUUACCACUUUCUUUGCCUAUGACAAAAAACCCAUGGCCAAUAUCUUUUUCUCUUGACGAUCUCGCUUCCAGCCCUAUCGUCCAUCGAAGAUGAAUCGAGCAUCUCCGUCUUUAGACGAUUCAAGCAUUGGCCAUCAACCAACAUUAUUUGUUGGUUGUGAUCUGUUGAUGGCCCUAUGUCCAUUCGUUAUGAUCUUCCUAGCAAGUAGUGGCGCAAUACAUGCGAGCAGAUCACCAAGAAAUGCUGCAAAGGUAUUUUUGAACCAACCCUGGGUGGAAAAAUCAAGACGUUAUACUUAUAUUCAACCAUUGGAAGCAGAAGCCGAAGCCGAAGCAUAUUUCAGGUGACAAACAGGCAAAGUAUACUUUUCUGCUUCCAAUAAGCUGCUUAUUAGUUGAUUCUUCACGCAAAGUUGAAAAAAUUCAUAUGCCACAAACAGCUGGAAAGUUUGAAGUUGAGUGAUUUGGACGUGUCACAAGUAUAAUUUUUCUCAAUUACAUCUUCGAAAGAGUUCGUUGAUCCAACUAUCGAACAACUGAUUUGAUGAUCAGUUGACUUAUACCAGCCUUUUCAUCAUAUUAACAUUUGAUCUUACAUGAAACCCAUAAUCUCGAGCUUCAAGUCAGCGUUAUAUUAAACUUUUUUUUUUUUGAAAAACUAAAUAAAUUAAGAGUAAUUUUAUAGAUAAAAAUAACUGGUUGAUUUUACUCAAUCACAUAAUAACAAGUUAGUUUGCUUGUUGUCAAACAUUAAUCUCUAAAUAUUUUCAUUGUCUGGUUUGUAUGUCUUUUUUGAGAUUUUUGUGGUAACCUAGCACAAGGUUCGUCUCAAAUAUUUGAUGUAAUAUCUAGUUUCGUUCAUAUUUGUUACCAUUCUUAUAGUUAUUUAGGAAGUGUGGUCGAGAUUUGAAUUUUAAAAUAGAAAU